rnacentral:lncRNA from 1 species
GGAACCCGCUGCGGAGAGAAGAGCUAGCGCGCCUUUAGACCAGCCAGUGAGGACCUGGGUCAAGCCAAGAGGCGGGAGGGGGGCUCCCGUAAGCCUGGAGCCUACAUCCACAGGCCGAGCAGCUACUCCAGCCGCUGCACCUACUUGGUGACACCCUGCUGGGCUCUGGGGUCCUCACGAAGAGAGGCUGUGCCGGGACCAUGCGCCCAAGGUCCGAGGAUGUCCUCUGCGACCUGCGGCGGGCGUGUGGGUUCAGGCCCAAACGAGUCCCAGGAGUUUCUCAGCGCCUGGAAGUAGACGUGGUCUCUCUAGCCCCUGGCGUCAGUCUUUACCCUUCCUCUUCCUGGAGACCCGGGAGGCCGCGACGUGGAAAGAGAGGCGGGAAAGCCCGCACGGAGCUGCCCAAGUAGAGGGCGGUGGGGCUCA